GGAGGAAGGAAGCACGGAAGACCAGUAUUGAAUAAGGAUUAAUAUAAAUAGCAAGUUAUACUGAAGACAAGCACAAGAACAGGGGAUUAUUACUGCAUCCGCAGACUGAGGAGAGUGGGGAAUCACCGGGUUAACUCCUGGAACCGUUUCUGUGAGACAUUAAGAAGUACGGAAAUAACAUUGCCUAGCCGAGUUAUUGCUAGGUCAAUAUCAGAGAAUUUUUGGACAAUUUUCUCUAAUUUGGAUAUUCAAAGGGGUAUUGGCAGGUGUAUCUGAAGCUUAACAGAGUCAAGUGCACCGUGAAUUUAUGUAGAAUUGAUAACAGUGCCUAACUGGAAAUGAUAACAGCAAGACCGAUUGAUGCAAGCUAUACUUUCAGCUGGCCGAAAUACGACCGACUGACUGCAUAUGGAGCAGAUGGUGGAUAAUAAUAAGAAUGAUGUUUCAGUGAAUUUUGGGGGGAUACCUACACACCUAUUUUCUAUUCGUGCUUUCUCAGAAUAUGUGUUAUUGAUUAAGGAUUUCUUAAGGUGGAGCCAUCCCUCGCGCAUCAUACACCUCACCUGAGUGGUACAGUGUCUUCUAACACUCAUGGGGCCAUAAAUGGCUCCAAAUAAAGGCCCUUUCCUAUAAGCUUUUUCCUAAGCAGAAGCAUUUUUUCAAGGAUUUGACUUAUUAACAACAAUAGACAAGACCAGUUUAAUACUUUGGAAAAGAAGAGUUUGUCCAUGAAGGCUAUCCUGGAGCGCCUGGUUUUGAAGGGCGUCUUUCUCCCAUUGCUGGCGAUUUAUUUUGUUUUGCUGUUGGACUGACUACUGCUUGAAGAUUGCAUUGAUUUUGAUUAAAGUUUAUUGCGUACGGUGUAAAUUGUUAUUGAUGUAUUAUAAGGGAGAACUUG